AAAAUUAUAAUUUCUCUAGUUGUCUUUACACAAAAUUUAAUUAAGAUAUCAGUGAUACUAAUUUAAUUUAAACAACUAUUUUAUUUAAUUUCUUCAUCAUAUCCACAUAUUUUCUCAUCUAAAAUAUCGUAUUUUUAAAUUUCAAAAUUGUAUUUAGACCUAGGUACAUUUAUCUGGAACCAAACAAGACCGAACCGAAAAAUGAAGUUCGGUUUAAGUUUGGAUCCUAUCAAUUAUACUAGUGAAUCAUAUCUGAACCGUUUUUUGGAUCAGUUCCAAUUCAGGUUUUCAGAUCCGAAUAAAAUACCCAAACCUAAACUUGUUUAUUUUGUUUCAAAUAUUUUUUUAUUGGAUAAAGUAUAGUAUUUCAACUAUGUUUUUUGGUAUCCUGAUACACAUAAUUUAUUUCAUAAUUUUAUGAUCAUUAGUUAGUGUACAUAUUUAUAAAAAAAUUAAAAUGUAAAAAACAGUAAAAUUCCACCUUGACCGCAUCAAAAGUGAUGCAUAACAAGAAGAUUGUGCGGGACUUCAUUUUGUUCUUUAAACAUAACCGCCACAGUAGAAACUUUAUUGAUAUAUUAUUCUUUUUUUGUUUUGAUUAUAUAAUUAGAUUCGGGAUAAAUUUUGUUUGAAUGGCAACACAAACUGUGUUAUAACGCACCGCAUACGGCGUCUUUGCUUCCCAGUCAUACGGCGUCUUUGCUACCAGAUGAUAAUCCUCGCGGAGUGAGUUUCUUUAUAAUAAUGUUGGUUCAUUAAAUGAUUUUAACAUUUUGAAACACUACAACUUUUAUCGAUUGUAAAAUGAUGAAAAUAAAUGUUGGUCUUUUAAAUGUAUCAUCGUUAUUGAAGAGUUAACGUAUUACAUUUCAUUUUAAUUAUUUUUAAGACUUCAUAUGCACAAAAGAAAAUUAAGUUUUGCAGCUAAGACAAAUAACAAAACUAGAUAGGCAACAUUGAUUGUAAAAUGACGAAAGAGAAUAAGGUUUUAUGCUCUUGAUUUGUUUGUUAUUGACUCUCCAUAAGUUAUUUCCUUUUCUACUUCUAUAAAAUUGUGUUUUCAUUCUCGUUUAUGUUUCACUGAUAUGAGUUUUGUUUAUUUUUUUUUAACUUCUUCUGUAAAUUCGGUGAAUUACAUAAGUGUCAAUAAAAAAAUGGACAUCUGUAACAAAUUAGUUCCACUGCAUAUACAUAUCUAAGAAUCAAAUUUUUGAAGAAGAUCACCGGCAAACUUUAUUCAUAUGUUUUUGAAUCUAAGUGCAAACUCGAAAUAUAAAUAUAUGUCUAGUAUAUAUUCACCAGCUCGGUCUAAAAUCAUCUAAUUCUAGAACAACAAAACAAAUUACUUAUUUUAUUACUCUUCGCGUUUGAGGUUUAGUUAUUUAAGAGUAUACCGAUAAAAAAUAUAUAAUACUUUACCAUUUUAUGGUAUGUAAACUAUGUAUAAAGUGCAGACUCGAAAUUGAGAGCAGAAAACCUCAAGAUUAUCUAUAUUCAGUGGCCAAAACUGCACGUUUCAUAGAAAUUUAUGUUUUUUGGUUGUUUUAUUUCUGUUUGGAUUCUAAAACCAUAUUUUUUUAACAAAUAAAAUGUUCUUUCAAUGGCAAAAAAAUGGCACAAGUUACUAAAUCCACAAAAAAUGGUCCCUCUCUUAGAUAAAAGCCUUUCUUUUUAUCUUUUUUUCCUUAGGCUACUACAAGUUUACUGACUUUCCUCGUAUAUUACUUUAUAUAUAUAUAUAUAUAUGCACACUCGAUAAGAAACUGUAUUACCAAUGUUUGAAAUAAUAUUUGCAACUCAAUGAAUAGAUUAUUGCCUAAAAAUAAAACCAUCUACAUCUAAAGCCUGGUUAAUUAUUAGUAACCAAACUUAUGUAAAUGUGAGUACCUUUUUGUUGUUUCAAAGAAGAAAAAAAACUGGGACCUUUUUGUCUGAAAAAAAAAAUCAAAUGUGAGUGACUUUUUGGAUAAAUUUAAGUAUUUUUAAUUUGCAUGUGCUAUCUAUGUUUCAUCCAUAACGAUAAUGUAAGUAGCUUUUUCAUGAGCUAUUUAUGUUUCAUCCAUUAAAUAAAGAAUAACAAAGAAAGAAAAUAAAUAGUUAUGUAAGAAGAAACAAAUAAAUAGAUAGUAUUUUUUGCGUUGCUCUCUCUCUCUCUCUCUCUCUCUCUCUCUCUCUCUCUCUCUCUCUCUCUCUCUCUCUCUCUCUCUCUCUCUCUCUCUCUCUCUCUCUCUCUCCGUUUGAGGCAAAGACUGAAACACUGCUCGAUACUAUUAUUUACUGUCAGACGAGCACACGAAGUCCACAAAAUGUCAAAAGUAUAUAUCCAUGUUCGGAACUACGCUGGACGCUAAUCGGGCGGCAGCUCCGAGCCUAGCGAAUUACCGAAAAAUCGGGGUAUACGCGGGGACUAGUUUAUUAAUAAUUUUAUUUUAUUUGUAUUUAAAAUCCAAUAUAUAAUAUACAACAUAUUAUAAUGUGAUAAUUUGGGUAUAUACUAAUACUGAAAACUAUAUAUAUUAAGCUCUAACAAAAUUUCAUUGUUAAAAUAAAUGUAUAUCAUCCGGUUACAAAUAGUCAGACAAACAAACUAAAUUAAUUUCACAUACAUUGUACAAAUAUAAUAUAUUUGUAUAAUAUCAUCAAAGUCACACUUUCUAGAUUUCUAUUGGUAAAAACUUAACCAAUAAGAUAUGUCAAAAUGUAAAAUAUUGGAACACAGGUAUUUAGUGUGAUGUAUUCUAAUCCUGUCAAAUGAGAAAAUAUAAAGCAAAGAAAAACGGAAAAACUUGAAAACCUAAAGUCCCACAUCGACUACUAUAAACAAAAACACUUCUCGAGACAUCUAUAAAUAAACUCACGCUCCCUUGGUUAAUCUACAAGCUGGGCUAAUAACGUCCACUAACUUCCAAAAGAAUGAUCGGUUAAAAAUUGGUAUAGUACCGAUUAAUCAGAUUACGCGGCCGAGUUAGUGGGGUCCGAUUAAAUAAGCUGACUUGAGCUUAUUGGCCACAGAACCUUAACGCCGAGCGCCUAGGCGACCGAUUAUUCGGCUAGGCGUCCGCGUUUUUGAACAGAGCCGUCAGAUCUGAUAUUGCCAACUGCUGCAAAGAUGUUAUACUGAACAAAAGAAAGUGUUCUGCUUCCGUAACAAUGGGUUGUCCUCAAGACCCAGGAGAACAACGUCGGAGGCAAGAAGGUGUUACCAAGCUGAAAUCUCAUUAUUUGAACAGAAAAAAAGAGAAAUCUACUUCUGCUUCCUUUUAUUAUUUUUUCUUGUUUCCAAAAAUAUAACGUCUAAUUGCAAAAAGUUAUAACGAUAAGAAAGUGUUUUUCUUUC